rnacentral:rRNA from 1 species
AUUGAACGCUGGCGGCAGGCCUAACACAUGCAAGUCGAACGAGUGGCGGACGGGUGAGUAAUGUCUGGGAAACUGCCUGAUGGAGGGGGAUAACUACUGGAAACGGUAGCUAAUACCGCAUACCAUCAGAUGUGCCCAGAUGGGAGUAGCUAGUUGGUGGGGUAACGGCUCACCCAGGCGACGAUCCCUAGCUGGUCUGAGAGGAUGACAAGCAACACUGGAACGGAGACACGGGCCAGACUCCUACGGGAGGCAGAAGUGGGGAAUAUUGCACAAGGGGCGCAAGCCGGAUGCAGCCAGGCCGCGUGUAUGAAGAAGGCCUUCGGGUUGUAAAGUACUUUCAGCGGGGAGGAGUUACCCGCAGAAGAAGCACCGGCUAACUCCGUGCCAGCAGCCGCGGUAAUAC